UAGUCCACGCCGUAAACGUUGGGCGCUAGGUGUGGGGAGCAUUCCACGUUCUCCGUGCCGCAGCUAACGCAUUAAGCGCCCCGCCUGGGGAGUACGGCCGCAAGGCUAAAACUCAAAGGAAUUGACGGGGGGCCCGCACAAGCGGCGGAGCAUGUGGCUUAAUUCGACGCAACGCGAAGAACCUUACCAGGGUUUGACAUGCGCGGAAAACCUGCAGAGAUGUGGGGUCCUUUUGGGCCGCGUACAGGUGGUGCAUGGUUGUCGUCAGCUCGUGUCGUGAGAUGUUGGGUUAAGUCCCGCAACGAGCGCAACCCCUGUCCCAUGUUGCCAGCGAGUCGUGUCGGGGACUCAUGGGAGACUGCCGGGGUCAACUCGGAGGAAGGUGGGGAUGACGUCAAAUCAUCAUGCCCCUUAUGUCCUGGGGCUGCACACAUGCUACAAUGGCCGGUACAAUGGGCUGCGAAGCCGUGAGGUGGAGCGAAUCCCAAAAAGCCGGUCUC
rnacentral:rRNA from 1 species